GUGCUUGCUUCGACAGCACAUAAAUUAAAAUUGUAACAAUACAGAGAAGAUCAGCAUGGCCCCUGCUCAAGGAUGACAUGCAAAUUUGUGAAGUGUUCCAUAUUUUU
rnacentral:snRNA from 1 species